rnacentral:rRNA from 1 species
UACGGAAUGUGCAAACGUUAUUCGGAAUCACUGGGCUUAAAGAGUCCGUAGGCGGCAUGUUAGGUGAGGUGUGAAAUCCCCCGGCUCAACCGAGGAAUUGCGCUUCAAACCGGCGUGCUUGAGGAAGAUAGCGGUGGGCGGAACUGAUGGUGGAGCGGUGAAAUGCGUUGAUAUCAUCAGGAACACCGGAGGCGAAGGCGGCCCACUGGGUCUUUUCUGACGCUGAGGGACGAAAGCUAGGGGAGCGAAGCGGG